UAUCGAUAAAGUAAGAGGUUUAGUUCGGCCUGCCAUUGACGGAUGCUAUACAGUGUAUGAUGGUGAUAGCAGUCUGAUCACAACUCAGGAGGGCAUAGUACCGAUUGAAUCAUCGUUUAACCAUGCAGAUGAAGUUCCUGAAAAAGAAGCAACCGAAAAGACUAACCAUGUUGUAGCCGCUACAACAACAACAAACCAUGAUGAAUCGGACUACUUCACAAACGACAGAGCCAAUUUAAAAAAAGAGUCCUCAUCCUUUGUUGACCCGAAAGAGACAACUUUCGUCAGCAGGAAAAGAAACCAUUUCCGAAAAGUUCAGAGUACUGGCGUCUGAAAAGUUGGGAUUAGUAUCGGCUCAAAAGGAACUAUUACAGGUACAGUUAACAGAAGAGGAGGAAAAACUAGAACAUAACCGUUUGUUAAGGAAGAUGCCGAUGGAAGAAGCAAAAAGGCAGUAUGAGGAGAAUGAAGAAAAAUUAAAGCAUGACCGGUUUUUAAGAAAACUCGAAGUUGAAGACGCGCAAAAAAGGUAU